rnacentral:rRNA from 1 species
AACGCGAAGUAACCUUACCUGGCCUCGACAUCCAUGGAAUUCUGCAGAGAUGUAGAAGUGCCCUCGGGAACCAUGAGACAGGUGCUGCAUGGCUGUCGUCAGCUCGUGUCGUGAGAUGUUGGGUUAAGUCCCGCAACGAGCGCAACCCUUGUCCUUAGUUGCCAUCAUUCAGUUGGGAACUCUAAGGAGACCGCCGGUGACAAACCGGAGGAAGGUGGGGAUGACGUCAAGUCAUCAUGGCCUUUAUGGCCAGGGCUACACACGUGCUACAAUGGCAGGUACAGAGGGAAGCCAACGCGCGAGCGGGAGCCAGUCCCAGAAAGCCUGUCGUAGUCCGGAUCGGAGUCUGCAACUCGACUCUGUGAAGUUGGAAUCGCUAGUAAUCGCAGAUCAGCAUUGCUGCGGUGAAUACGUUCCCGGGUCUUGUACACACCG